rnacentral:lncRNA from 7 species
AGAUGAGGCGGCGCGGGCAGAUGCAUGUGACCAGGCAGCUCGGCGGAGACAGAGAAGGUGCGGGUGACAGCAAUUCCAUGGCUUAGCACCACGCUCGCAACCGGGAACAAGAUAGGGCUGGUUGGGGAUCGCCGGCUAGCACAUCAGCGAUGUCCAUGGGGAUAUAGAGUGGAAGAGCAGAGCACGAACAUUGGUGCGCGCGGGACGUCGUGAUCGAGGACGUCGGCAAGGCUCGACGAUGCCUGAUCAGGCUGCUAGUCCAUGGGCGACGGCGGCGCAUCGCAUGGGAAGAAAGUUGUG